rnacentral:rRNA from 1 species
UACGUAGGGGGCUAGCGUUGUCCGGAUUUAUUGGGCGUAAAGAGCGUGUAGGCGGCCUGGUAGGUCUGCUGUGAAACUCGAGGCUCAACCUCGAGAUGUCGGCGGAAACCAUCUGGCUAGAGUCCGGAAGAGGAGAGUGGAAUUCCUGGUGUAGCGGUGAAAUGCGCAGAUAUCAGGAAGAACACCUAUGGCGAAGGCAGCUCUCUGGGACGGUACUGACGCUGAGGAGCGAAAGCGUGGGUAGC